rnacentral:lncRNA from 1 species
AGGGCGUGGCGGUGUCGCCACGUGGGCUGAAGCUGCUGCCCUGCGCGGGGCCGGUCCGUCGGUCCGUGCUCUCGUUCUGAUGGCGGUUUGUCGUUCCGAGCUCAUCUGUGGGUGUUUAACCCGCUGGCUGUGCAGGAGUGAUUUUUCUCAGGACUCGCACCGUGGCGUGGAGCGCCAGCAGCAGAGGGGCUCUGGCGGUCUCUGUCCGUGCCCGGUCGGCUGCUCCUCUCCCUUCUCUGCUCAUCUUAGGGUUUCUUUAACGGCUCUGUUUGUGGUCACAUCCCUGUGCUGCUCUUCUCAGCGCGGGUGUGCGCUUUCCUUUGAUUUGAGCUUGUUUUCUGGUCUCCAUCAGCUCUGCAGGCACCUCGUGUCGGUGCGCGCUGUGUCUGCUGGGACGUCGAUCCGCAGGGAGGGGAGCACAAAAAAUCCGCGUCCCGUUAAGCGGGGCAGAGCAGCAGCAGCAGCUGAAGGCUCUGAAGUUCACAGGCUGCUGUCUGCACGUGGAGGUGUUGCGUUGUUUCACCACGUGGCCUCGGUUCUGCAGUCUACAGGAAGAAGAGGUUUCAGAGCAUUCAGCAUCUCCCCUGUGAGCCCCUUGUAUGUGGUACCUGAGCAGCAACGUGCCCACGUGUGCCUGGAGCUGCCCUGUACCUGCAGCGUGCUGCCUGCACUGCUGUCACUUGGGACAAAUCCAUCAUUGGAGAGGUCUGGGCAUCCCUGCUAUGUCCCAUUGGUGUCAGCAUUGGUGGAAGGAAGAGAACCAGUCCCUGCUGUGAUGCUGGGGUGCCCUAUGCUGAAUUCCACAGGUGCCAAGAGAGGAGGAACUGCCACUUCCUAG